rnacentral:lncRNA from 1 species
UUCCUUUUAUUCGUGAUUUUUUUUUCUUGUAGGACGGUGACAGUGACACAUCAUCGGCAUUAUCACUAGCUGUCGUUAUAUUAUUUGAUAUGUGGGACAUGUGGUCUUCUCUUAGUUUAAGAUUCUUAUCCAUCUCAAAAUUCUUGUUUUCUUUGUCCCUGCUCUUUUCUUUUGGCCGGUGCCUCUUUCAUUUCUGUGGAAAGAGUAGUCUUGAAUGAACUAGCUGAUACACGUUAAGACUUUCCCAAAUUUAAGUAUAAUCCUCAAUCAUCUUCACUUACACGUCUAGGAUUCUCGUACUUGUUUGUCUCUGUACUGACAUAAUCUGAUGGUUUCAGGGGGGGAAAAGGAUGGAAAAAAAUUGUUUACCUGAAACCUGUGGUAUUGAUCAACAGCGACAUCAGCAUUGCUGAAAUCCAAAAUUCUCCCUGGCGAAGACGACCCUGGAAAAGUAAGUUCCUUUCUCUUGUAUAAAUAAAUAAUCUGGCAUUUUCCUGAAAGGUGAUGAGAUUACUUACCGGGCUUUCUUGUGAAGGUAUCCCAUAUGCUAGCUCCUUUAUUCCCUUCAGUUGCAGCUCCUUCAAACUGAAAAGGAGAAAUUUGAUUAUCAAGAUGCUCUUCUAAGAAAACCAGACAGCUUCAGGAACACUUCUAUUGAGUUGAGAAGGAAAGAGAACUUGAUAA